rnacentral:rRNA from 1 species
GACGAACGCUGGCGGCGUGCUUAACACAUGCAAGUCGAGCGGAAAGGCCCCUUUGGGGGUACUCGAGCGGCGAACGGGUGAGUAACACGUGGGUGACCUGCCCUCAGCUCUGGGAUAAGCCUGGGAAACCGGGUCUAAUACUGGAUAUGACUCCAUGACGCAUGUUGUGGGGUGGAAAGCCUUGUGCGGCUGAGGAUGGGCCCGCGGCCUAUCAGCUUGUUGGUGGGGUGAUGGCCUACCAAGGCGA